rnacentral:rRNA from 1 species
AAUAUAAUACAACGAAGAGUUUGAUCCUGGCUCAGGAUGAACGCUAGCGACAGGCCUAACACAUGCAAGUCGAGGGGCAGCAUUUAAUAAGCUUGCUUAUUAAGAUGGCGACCGGCGCACGGGUGAGUAA